rnacentral:rRNA from 1 species
CCUACGGGUGGCUGCAGUCGAGGAUCUUCGGCAAUGGGCGCAAGCCUGACCGAGCGACGCCGCGUGCGGGAUGAAGGCCUUCGGGUUGUAAACCGCUGUCAGAGGGGAUGAAAUGCCGGGAGGUUCUCCUUUCGGUUUGACAGAUCCUCAGAGGAAGGACGGGCUAAGUUCGUGCCAGCAGCCGCGGUAAGACGAACCGUCCAAACGUUAUUCGGAAACGCGUGGCUUGGGGGGUGCGUAGGCGGGGUGUGAAAUCCCUCGGCUCAACCGAGGAAUUGCGCUCCAAACUACCGUGCUUGAGGGAGACAGAGGUGAGUGGAACUUAGGGUGGAGCGGUGAAAUGCGUUGAUAUCCUAAGGAACACCAGUGGCGAAAGCGACUCACUGGGUCUCUUCUGACGCUGAGGCACGAAAGCUAGGGUAGCGAACGGGAUUAGAUACCCCUGUAGUC